GAUGAACGCUGGCGGCGUGCCUAAUACAUGCAAGUCGAGCGAACAGACGAGGAGCUUGCUCCUCUGACGUUAGCGGCGGACGGGUGAGUAACACGUGGAUAACCUACCUAUAAGACUGGGAUAACUUCGGGAAACCGGAGCUAAUACCGGAUAAUAUAUUGAACCGCAUGGUUCAAUAGUGAAAGACGGUUUUGCUGUCACUUAUAGAUGGAUCCGCGCCGCAUUAGCUAGUUGGUAAGGUAACGGCUUACCAAGGCAACGAUGCGUAGCCGACCUGAGAGGGUGAUCGGCCACUCUGGAACUGAGACACGGUCCAGACUCCUACGGGAGGCAGCAGUAGGGAAUCUUCCGCAAUGGGCGAAAGCUUGACGGAGCAACGCCGCGUGAGUGAUGAAGGUCUUCGGAUCGUAAAACUCUGUUAUUAGGGAAGAAUAAAUGUGUAAGUAACUAUGCACGUCUUGACGGUACCUAAUCAGAAAGCCACGGCUAACUACGUG
rnacentral:rRNA from 1 species